rnacentral:rRNA from 1 species
CUGCCGGCGACCGGCGCACGGGUGAGUAACACGUAUGGAACCUGCCCGCAGCAGGGGGAUAAGCGGAAGAAAUUCCGUCUAAUACCGCGUAACAACGUUGGGAGGCAUCCCCCGAUGUUUAAAGAUUUAUCGGCUGCGGAUGGCCAUGCGGCGCAUUAGCUAGUCGGCGGGGUAACGGCCCACCGAGGCGACGAUGCGUAGGGGUUCUGAGAGGAAGGUCCCCCACACUGGUACUGAGACACGGACCAGACUCCUACGGAAGGCAGCAG